rnacentral:rRNA from 1 species
CAGCAGCCGCGGUAAUACGUAGGGUGCGAGCGUUAAUCGGAAUUACUGGGCGUAAAGCGUGCGCAGGCGGUUAUGUAAGACAGUUGUGAAAUCCCCGGGCUCAACCUGGGAACUGCAUCUGUGACUGCAUAGCUAGAGUACGGUAGAGGGGGAUGGAAUUCCGCGUGUAGCAGUGAAAUGCGUAGAUAUGCGGAGGAACACCGAUGGCGAAGGCAAUCCCCUGGACCUGUACUGACGCUCAUGCACGAAAGCGUGGGGAGCGAACAGGAUUAGAUACCCCGGUAGUCCCUGUCUCUUAUAC